AUUUUGAGUUCAAAUAACUGCAAAAGUAAUUUUGUGUGAAAGAUUGUCAAAAAUGUCCAAUUAGGUUGCACAUGCUUUUGGCAAUGCUUUGAUAUGAAGUAGUUAGAUCCAUGUUCCAGAUGAAUAUUUAGUAGGAAAGUAAAUUCUGUCACUUGUAAACUGCUUUAGAAGGGACUAAAGUGUAAAAUUAGAAGAGAAAAGAAAACAUGAAUUUGUAUUUUGCACAUAUGAAUUGAUGUAAUGAGGGUACAUUUUGAACUGAGGAA
rnacentral:misc_RNA from 1 species